rnacentral:rRNA from 1 species
GAUGAACGCUGGCGGCGUGCCUAAUACAUGCAAGUCGAGCGAACAGACGAGGAGCUUGCUCCUUUGACGUUAGCGGCGGACGGGUGAGUAACACGUGGGUAACCUACCUAUAAGACUGGGAUAACUUCGGGAAACCGGAGCUAAUACCGGAUAAUAUUUCGAACCGCAUGGUUCGAUAGUGAAAGAUGGCUUUGCUAUCACUUAUAGAUGGACCUGCGCCGUAUUAGCUAGUUGGUAAGGUAACGGCUUACCAAGGCAACGAUACGUAGCCGACCUGAGAGGGUAAUCGGCCACACUGGAACUGAGACACGGUCCAGACUCCUACGGGAGGCAGCAGUAGGGAAUCUUCCGCAAUGGGCGAAAGCCUGACGGAGCAACGCCGCGUGAGUGAUGAAGGUCUUCGGAUCGUAAAACUCUGUUAUUAGGGAAGAACAAACGUGUAAGUAACUGUGCACGUCUUGACGGUACCUAAUCAGAAAGCCACGGCUAACUACGUG